UCUAAUUUAUUCCAAGCCCCGACGCUGGAACGCAAAAUAUCAAAAUUUUCUUUGAUCUUGGCCGCCCAGCCUUAGCGUGACCGAUAUUACACGGAUGUAGCAAAUAUUUACGUAUUUGCAUGCUACAUCCGUACCUUGUCAGACCUUAAUGAAGUUAUUCGAUUUUAUUUUGCAAAUUGUGACUAUACUAUAUCUACAUUGCAAUGGCUGAGUAAAAUCCAUUUGGCCCAAGAUCACUGUUAAGACAGAAAGAAUGUCUACAGAACAGGUAGCCAAAUUAACUAUGCAGGAACAAUUUCGUGUGGGAAUUACCUCUGGUCAGCUAGAUGUUGUUGAAAAAAUCAUAGAUACAACGCCAUCACUGCUGCAUUGUAUUGACAAAAAUGGUACUACACCUUUAAUUUUGUGUGCAGCUUAUGGUCAUAUUGAUGUAUUGAAGUACUUAAUUAAACAAGGAGCUAGCGUUGAACAGCGAAGAAAGACUGGUAAGACAGCUUUGUUUUUCGCGGCACAAGCUGGACAUCUGGCUGUUGUUCAGGAACUUCUAAGAAAUGGAGCAAGCAUUGAUUAUGGUGCUAACAUAAAGGAAGCGGCAACGUCGUUGUUUAUUGCCUCACAAUGUGGUUGUGUUGACAUUGUUACCGAAAUGGCUUCGUUUAGGCCUGCACUAAAUGCAUCAAUACAGGAUGGUGCAACUCCGUUAUUUGUUGCUUCUCAAAAUGGACACACCGGAGUUAUUUUGCGUCUGCUCAACAGUGGGGCAUCUGUGAAUAGAUGUCGCAAGGAUAAAACGAGUCCACUAUGGAUAGCUUGCCAGAUGGGGCAUAGUGACGUUGUAAAGUUACUUCUUUAUGCAGGAGCGUCCAUCGAUCUGAGCAGAGAGGAUGGUUCAACUCCGUUGUUCAAGGCCUGUCAUAAAGGUCAUGUUCGUGUCGUUGAACAUUUGCUUAAUCACCAUAUUAAACCUGACCUUGGUUUGUUGAAGAAUGGACAAAGUGCGUUGCACGGGGCAUGUCUCUUUGGUCAUUUGAACAUCGUGAAAUUGUUAGUUCAAGCAGGUGCUCAAGUUAAUAUUCGAAAUCAAGAUGAACAUGUUUUACCUUGAACUGCUUGUAAUGAAUGUCCUGAUUUUAUUUGCCUCAAAUGAAGUAAAGAGUGUGGAUAUUCAAACAGGCGGCUAUGACCCUGGCUCUUGUAGCAAAUCGGAAAGUGGUUCAUUAAAAUUGAUUAAAAAUCGCUUGAACUUUGACAAACUGUUAAUUUGCACCGAGCAAAAUGGAGUUUUUGGUUGGAAAACAACGGACGGUUCUAAUCCCUUUGGCGAAUAUUUCAACCCCGGAUACGACUGUACGGAUAUUCUGAAUAAGAAUUUUGAAGCUAGAGAUGGAUUUUAUUGGAUACAUUUGAAUCAGAGUGUUCCCAGGAGGGUCUAUUGUGACAUGACUACAGACGGAGGGGGAUUUGCGCUAAUUGGUAAACUCGAUAGUUCUGUCACAUGGAAUGCUCCAUCCAGAAACACAACAGUUGAUCCGUUUGGUGAAGCUCAGUGGUCAAGUGAUCUCGGUGACGUUCAAGUUCUUGACUUCAGAAUACAAGUGUCGGCAGAAGAAAAUUUGAUUAAAUCAAAUGCUCACUGGUCCUACAGACUGCGAAAUACACGUCCUCUUAAGAACAUAAUGAUCAUUAAUCAGGGGGGUUGUGGCGCAUCAUCACCAGGCAUUGGUGACAUCGAUUACGUCAAAGACCUCCGGACCGAGAAAAUUGUUACGACGAAAUUCCGUUGCUCACAAUUUGGACUGAAUGUGCAUUAUCGUAUUUCUCUAACGAUAGGAUGGGCAAUGAUAAAUGAAUGCUUCAAAAAACAAUGUCCUUAUGGUUUUACUUUCAACCAAAGAUUUCGUAAUCGAAUGACCACGUCAGGAUCUUUUAGCUACAGCGUGGUAAGCAGUACAUCAGGAAUACGUCAUAAUUCAACCGCAUUCAUCGGCUGUAACAAUACAGUG
rnacentral:misc_RNA from 1 species